GAUGAACGCUGGCGGCGUGCCUAAUACAUGCAAGUCGAGCGAACAGACGAGGAGCUUGCUCCUCUGACGUUAGCGACGGACGGGUGAGUAACACGUGGAUAACCUACCUCUAAGACUGGGAUAACUUCGGGAAACCGGAGCUAAUACCGGAUAAUAUAUUGAACCGCAUGGUUCAAUAGUGAAAGACGGUUUUGCUGUCACUUAUAGAUGGAUCCGCGCCGCAUUAGCUAGUUGGUAAGGUAACGGCUUACCAAGGCAACGAUGCGUAGCCGACCUGAGAGGGUGAUCGGCCACACUGGAACUGAGACACGGUCCAGACUCCUACGGGAGGCAGCAGUAGGGAAUCUUCCGCAAUGGGCGAAAGCCUGACGGAGCAACGCCGCGUGAGUGAUGAAGGUCUUCGGAUCGUAAAACUCUGUUAUUAGGGAAGAACAAAUGUGUAAGUAACUAUGCACGUCUUGACGGUACCUAAUCAGAAAGCCACGGCUAACUACGUG
rnacentral:rRNA from 1 species